UUAUAUUCUCCGCUGGGGGGGAUGAGAACCCCCGACCGGGGUUCGACAACUGGCAACGCCAGUUGGACAGACCGCGAGCCUGCGAGCGGGCUGCCCCGCAGGGGCGAGCGAAGCGAGUCAAUCCCCCCCGCACCGCCA
rnacentral:sRNA from 1 species